rnacentral:rRNA from 1 species
AAGCGGAGGAAAAGAAACCAACAGGGAUUGCCUUAGUAGCGGCGAGUGAAGCGGCAAAAGCUCAAAUUUGAAAUCGGCGUUAGUCGAGUUGUAAUUUGUAGACUGAAUUCUGAGAGCGACCUUGCUCAAGUUCUCUGGAACGAGACAUCAUGGAGGGUGAGAAUCCCGUGAUGCAAGGCCCCCGUUUUCAUGUAGAUUUCUGUCGACGAGUCGAGUUGUUUGGGAAUGCAGCUCUAAGUGGGUGGUAAAUUCCAUCUAAAGCUAAAUAUUGGCGAGAGACCGAUAGCGAACAAGUACUGUGAAGGAAAGAUGAAAAGAACUUUGAAAAGAGAGUGAAAUAGUAUGUGAAAUUGUUGAAAUGGAAGGGCUUUAGGUUAGACAUGGCGUUUUCUGUUCCACUUCAGUUCGCUGGGGUGUACUCAGGUUCCGCCGGGCCAGCAUCAGUUUUGGGUCGAGGAUAAAUGAUAAGGAAUGUGGCUCCUCGGAGUGUUAUAGCCUUGUUGCAUACUCGAUCUGGGACUGAGGCCUGCAUUUUUAGGAUGCUGGCGUAAUGACCUAAAGCCACCCGUCUUGAAACACGGACC